UCUCGCCGGUGCAGCGAAGGACCCUCUUCCCCUCACACACACAUCUACGAGCUGGCCACCCACGCAGCGCCCUGGCCUCGCGUAGUGUUUCGUGCGCGCGUGUGUGCCCUGCACUUUGCAUAUGCGACUGCCCCUUUUCGUCCAUCAUGUCUCAGCAGCUCGCCUUCCACGACGUGUCGAACGACGCGAUUCAGCACAUGCAGGCCAGCGAGGCGCUGCAGAAGCACCUCGAGAAUGCCCAGCUGGCGCACCGCGUGUGUGUCGCCAAGGCGCUGAAGGCGAAUGAGCCGCCGGUGGAGAAGUGCGCACUGACCUGGGGCGAGGUGGUGAUGCGCUACAAUCAGUGGUCCGAGUACCGCCCUGCUUUCCACGAUAGCGACGCGCAGAAGAGGUACUCGAAGUACUGGACCAAGAAGCGCCAGGCCGCCGACGACAGCCACCCGUAACGCAAGCUGAUCUGCGCUUGAGUAUUUGUGUCCGCGCGCGCAUGACUGCGUGAGUGGGGGAUGCGGCGCAUUCCCGCCCCUCUCGCUGCGGCAUGUCCGAAGGCCGCGCACCCGCACACAUGCGCGCUCCCCUCUGUAUGCGCGCCGCUCUGCAUGCGCGUGUGUGCCCGUCUGCCUGUGCGCGGGUCUUCACAGAGCUCGAUGAGUUCUGCCCCGAGCGGGGAGGCGAGACUGAGGGACCACGCGUAGGAGAGAGCGCGAGGAGCCACAUCGGCAUCUUCUUCGGAUAACUGGGAGGUGGUGGUGAGGCUUGUACCGCCCCACUGGCGCGGAGGAUGCAGGUGUGUGUGUGUGCUGUACACCUUGUCGCUCCGUGCAUGUUUGCACCUCUGCGUGCGUGCGCGUGCCACUGUGGCACGCUCCUUCAGCAUUCAUCAUCUGCAUGUGUGCCUGUCUUUUAGGAAUCAGACGUUUGGUUAUGGGGGCGCUGUCUCUCCUCCUCUUGUCUUCUCCUCCGCUUUCCACCGUGCCUGCACGCACGCGCAGGCGCACACGCAUACGUGAGUCACACAUGCUUAUGCUUCUGUCUGUCCGCGUGCGUGUGUGUUGGUGUGCGCGAGUGGAGGGGGGGGGUGAUGGGCAACGCGAGAGAAGGCGGAGGAGAGGGGGAUGGAAGCGACUCCGUUAGGUAUAGGGAGGUGAUUGUUUCACAGCGUGUCCCACCACCUGCCGCGCAGACACACAAUGCCUGCGUGUGUGUGUGUGUGUGAGGCGCGUUGCUCGAGUGUGUUGGCCGCUCUCUGCGCAUUUGUGCGAGCGUGCGUGUGUAUCGGGUUUCUUGGUGACGGCGUCUCUCUACACUUCACCCUUUCCCUUGUUAGUG
rnacentral:misc_RNA from 1 species